rnacentral:rRNA from 1 species
UUAAACCCUUUAUAGAUGGCUUAGUUGUCUAGCCGGGUCGUAUAAGUAGUCGAGUAGCCUUGUUGUUACGAGCUAUUGAGCGUAAGCCCGUCGCUAGCUUGAUUG